AUUGAACGCUGGCGGCAUGCCUUACACAUGCAAGUCGAACGGUAACAGGUCUUCGGAUGCUGACGAGUGGCGCACGGGUGAGUAAUACAUCGGAACGUGCCCAGACGUGGGGGAUAACGAGGCGAAAGCUUUGCUAAUACCGCAUACGAUCUAAGGAUGACAGCAGGGGACCGCAAGGCCUUGCGCGUUUGGAGCGGCCGAUGGCAGAUUAGGUAGUUGGUGGGAUAAAAGCUUACCAAGCCGACGAUCUGUAGCUGGUCUGAGAGGACGACCAGCCACACUGGGACUGAGACACGGCCCAGACUCCUACGGGAGGCAGCAGUGGGGAAUUUUGGACAAUGGGCGAAAGCCUGAUCCAGCAAUGCCGCGUGCAGGAUGAAGGCCUUCGGGUUGUAAACUGCUUUUGUACGGAACGAAAAGGCUCUGGCUAAUACCUGGGGCACAUGACGGUACCGUAAGAAUAAGCACCGGCUAACUACGUG
rnacentral:rRNA from 1 species